UCUGAUGAGAUAUGUGCCUGAUGAAGAC
rnacentral:piRNA from 1 species